GACAGAGGGUGCAAACGUUGUUCGGAAUUACUGGGCGUAAAGCGCGUGUAGGCGGCAGGGCAUGUCGGAUGUGAAAUCCCGUGGCUCAACCACGGAAGUGCACCCGAAACUGCCCAGCUUGAGUCUCGGAGAGGAAGGCGGAAUGCUUGGUGUAGAGGUGAAAUUCGUAGAUAUCAAGCAGAACACCGGUGGCGAAGGCGGCCUUCUGGACGAUGACUGACGCUGAGACGCGAAAGCGUGGGGAGCAAACAGG
rnacentral:rRNA from 1 species